rnacentral:rRNA from 1 species
AACGAACGCUGGCGGCAUGCCUAACACAUGCAAGUCGAACGAGAUCUUCGGGUCUAGUGGCGCACGGGUGCGUAACGCGUGGGAAUCUGCCGUUUGGUUCGGAAUAACAGUUGGAAACGAUUGCUAAUACCGGAUGAUGACGAAAGUCCAAAGAUUUAUCGCAAGAGGAUGAGCCCGCGUAGGAUUAGCUAGUUGGUGUGGUAAAGGCGCACCAAGGCGACGAUCCUUAGCUGGUAUGCGAGGAUGAUCAGCCACACUGGGACUGAGACACGGCCCAGACUCCUACGGGAGGCAGCAGUGGGGAAUAUUGGACAAUGGGCGAAAGCCUGAUCCAGCAAUGCCGCGUGAGUGAUGAAGGCCUUAGGGUUGUAAAGCUCUUUUACCCGGGAUGAUAAUGACAGUACCGGGAGAAUAAGCUCCGGCUAACUCCGUGCCAGCCGCCGCCGUAA